GUAAUGUUUAUUGCAGAACNCAGUGAAUCAUCGAAUCUUUGAACGCACCUUGCGCCCUUUGGCCUUCCGAAGGGCAUGCCUGUUUGAGUAUCAUG
rnacentral:rRNA from 1 species